CCUACGGGAGGCAGCAGUGAGGAAUAUUGGUCAAUGGACGCGAGUCUGAACCAGCCAAGUAGCGUGAAGAAUGACUGCCCUAUGGGUUGUAAACUUCUUUUAUAUGGGAAUAAAAUGUUCCACGUGUGGGUUUUUGUCUGUACCAUAUGAAUAAGGAUCGGCUAACUCCGUGCCAGCAGCCGCGGUCAUACGGAGGAUCCGCGCGUUAUCCGGAUUUAUUGGGUUUAAAGGGAGCGUAGGUGGAUUGUUAAGUCAGUUGUGAAAGUUUGCGGCUCAACCGUAAAAUUGCAGUUGAAACUGGCAGUCGUGAGUACAGGAGAGGUGGGCGGAAGUCGUGGUGGAGCGGUGAAAUGCUUAGAUAUCACGAAGAACUCCGAUUGCGAAGGCAGUUCACUGGACUGCAACUGACACUGAGGCUCGAAAGUGUGGGUAUCAAACAGGAUUAGAUACCCCAGUAGUC
rnacentral:rRNA from 1 species